rnacentral:rRNA from 1 species
UCCGUAGGUGAACCUGCGGAAGGAUCAUUAUUGAAAACAAGGGUGUCCAAUUUAACUUGGAACCCAAACUUCUCAAUUCUAACUUUGUGCAUCUGUAUUAAUGGCGAGCAACUUCGGUUGUGAGCCUUCACUUACAAAACACUAGUCUAUGAAUGUAAAAUUUUUAUAACAAAUAAAAACUUUCAACAACGGAUCUCUUGGCUCUCGCAUCGAUGAAGAACGCAGCGGAAUGCGAUACGUAAUGUGAAUUGCAGAAUUCAGUGAAUCAUCGAAUCUUUGAACGCAUCUUGCGCUCUCUGGUAUUCCGGAGAGCAUGUCUGUUUGAGUGUCAUGAAUUCUUCAAUCCAAUCUUUUCUUGUAAUCGAUUGGUGUUUGGAUUCUGAGCGUUGCUGGCGUUUGCCUAGCUCGUUCGUAAUACAUUAGCAUCCCUAAUACAAGUUUGGAUUGACUUGGCGUAAUAGACUAUUCGCUAAGGAUUCGGUGGAAACAUCGAGCCAACUUCAUUAAGGAAGCUCCUAAUUUAAAAGUCUACCUUUUGAUUAGAUCUCAAAUCAGGCAGGAUUACCCGCUGAACUUAAGCAUAUCAAUAAGCGGAGGAA